GGAUCAGCUCAGUCAGAGAAUACACCACUGAAUCGUCAGGGUUGGAAGGGACCUCUGGAGAUCCAUCCAGUCCAACCCCCCUGCGCAGGCAGGGUCACCUGGAGUAGGUGACACAGGAACGCAUCCAGGUGGGCUUGGAAUGUCUCCAGAGAGGGAGACUCCACGAC